GCCAGGGUAACGCGGGCGAAAAUUUUAGCAAUGGCGGGAAAUUGAAAGAGCUUUAAUAUUAAAAGCCAACUUCAAAUCGAGUUUUAGAUCAAAAUAUUCGUUCUAAAACCUUUAUUUUUUCGAUUUUAUCUAAGUAUAACCACUUAUCUUUAAAGAGUGGACAAUAUUGUGUUCGUAGCGGUUUCAAAAGAGCUGCAAAUUCCUUCAAAAGAUGUCAUUUUGGAAAGCUUACUGAAUUACAACAAUACAACACGUGGUUGAAGUGAUGUUUUUUUGGCCUCGAUACCAGCGCCGUUAUCUGUUCAGAAGUUGCUGAAAAUACUCUGCUGUGACUGCUUCUAAGGUAUUUGAUAAUAGGACUUGUUCUUGUGUUCAUAUAGUUUAAAUAUUGAUGUAUGAAAGAUAUAUCUCAAUUUGGUGGGUUUUAUUAAAAGCAGGAUUUUAUAAUAUUCAACCAGUGUAGGUAUAGUGGCAAUGAUAACAAGCUUUCAUUGGUAAGGAUUCAACUAUCUAAAAAAACAAAGCGAAAUUCGACGUUUUCAGCCAAGGCCUUUUUUGGCAAUGCCCAGAUGAUGUUAAAUAUUCUUGAUUUCUGGGCCAUAUUAAUCCAUCAAUGUACAAGAAUAUUGCCUUGAUGAGUAAAAUUGUCUGGCGUUAGAUGGACAUUGGUACGGUGCAUGGUAGUUUAUUGUGUUAAGACACAUUGGGAGAUAUAUAGUGUGGUUAACCCAUUGAGUACAUUAUGCCCCAAUUCACCCAAAUUACUCAGUCUGAUGCAUUUAGGCUUAAAAAAUACCUGUGGUUCAGGUUUCAUAUCAUGAAAAAUUAGGGUAGGCAGGUCAGAAAUAUACUCUCAGGAUUUUGACGGGUUUUUGCUGGGCGAAUUUCAGUAGAGUCCCAACAUUAAUGUUGAGAGAUGCAUAAUUCCUAUGGGCGAAUUUAGGCAAUUUGGUUCAAAUAAUUAUUUUGACAACUAAUGCCAUUUAGACAUGCUGCAUGAGCAACCCGCAACCACCCAGAAGAAAUAGAGUUGCACGAUCAAUUGUGUCGAAAUAAUAAUAGGGUCAGCAGAAAAAAUAGGGUCGGUCGGGAAACCGGAACCACAGGUAUUUUUUUAGGCCUUAUCAUUUGUGUGUGUGGAAACCCCCGGGUAUUUGCAGGCCUUAAAAUAUCUUUUACAGGCCCGUCUGACAAAACGUCGGAUGACUUUGAGUUUGCGUCGAACAUAUAUAUGAUGAUGUCCGAUAACCUUCAGUUCUGUUUGGCUCGGAAAUAAUCUGAAUGCCACAAAUAAAUAUCAGCACAAUGUAUUAAUUCUGAACUAAAUGUUGUGAAGAUAUUAAAUAGUUUGUGUCAUUCAUACUUACUUUCCAAGCCAAGAUUAUCUUGCUUGCCAAUAUUAGCAGUACUACUAAUUCGACAAUUUACUGUCGUUCCAAUUGAAGUGUUGCUCAAAUAUUGAUUCAAUACAUUACCUCGGGCUGACCAAUUCAUUUGAUCAAGUUCCUCGAGAUAUUCAUACACUUCCUGUGAAAGAGCCAAUUCCAAGUAUUUGAUCAUUUCUGGUCACUUCCUUUCUAUUUAUGAUUGGCUAGUUGCACAAACAACAAAGGUGAUUGGUGCAUUCAAACUAUUCAACAGGAAGUUUACAAUUAUACUAGGAAGUGUAUGAAUACCUCGAGGAACUUGAUGAAAUGAAUUGGUCAGCCCGAGGUAAUGUAUUGAAUCAAUAUUUGAGCAACACUUCAAUUGGAACGACAGUAAACCCGUUUUCCACUUCACCAUUUUGCUCGCUACCCUGAGUUCAGUGACAUUAUUAAAAACAUUUCCGGUUCAUUUUUGUACAAUACUCUAAUUCUCCAUUAUAACAUACUGUACGAGCCUCUAGUCCUGAACUAGGGUACAUUUUGAUUUACAUGCAUGGAGAAAGUGUCAGACAAAGCUACAGUUAGGUCGGACACCAGUUCACUCGGGUCGGACAAACAAUAAAUCUCAGUUUCACUUAGGUCGGACAGAAUGUCUGGUGGUUUCCUCUCUAUGUCGGACAAUUUCACGAAUGGGUCAGACAAGGUCCGUGACCGACCGAUAUUUUAAGGCAUGUGUUUAACAUUUGUAAAUGUUCUGCGUCAAAUCCCCAACCUUCGGACAGGGAAAACCUGUAAAAUCCUUCCCGGGCAGGGUAUACCAAACCAAGUUACUUACGGCACAUUGGGUUAACAAGAUACAUUGCAGGACAGGUUGGUUCAUUCAUUAAUGUGCCAGACUGUCCCCUAGAUAAGUAAAAUUGUCUUGCAGUAGACAGAAUACAAUAAUAAAUUAGGGUGAAAUACACCUCAAAUCUUUAAAAUGCACCCUUCUCUAAUAUUCUACUCCGUCGAAUGCCUCACAAUUUUACUCUUCAAGGAAAGAGUUCAGCCCUCAAUGGGUUUAUCAUACUAUGUUACUUGCAGGCUACGUAUGUGACAAAGAAACUAUAUACCAAUGCUAAUGUUACUUGGUUAAAGUGAAAGUCAAGUCCGUUCUGUGCAUCGGUUCUGCUCAACAAUGUGAGGACCCUCUAAUGUAAACAUUACCCAAAUUUCGAAUGUUUUGAAUUUUUCUGAACAUAAACUCUAUUUCAUAUUUAUUUAGAUGCAUAAGCGAACCAAAAUGGUGUUAGAUAUUGAGACAGUACAUCAUUUUUUUAAAAAUACAGUAGUUCAAAAUGUAAACAAACCGUUUUCAAACCGCUGAGUCCAUUCACACUUUUGCACGUCUUGUACGAAUUGUGUGUAAUGAACUUUCUUAUUGAUGUGGAACAUGGAAGUGACGGAACUGAUUGCGACAGUAUUUUGUACUUUUAUAUAUCAUACCUUAAAAUGUAAUUCCUAUAAAUAGCUUAUAUCUAGACACAGGGCCCCUAUGGAUACCAGCCUUCGUGCUGAAAGGGCCACCCUGUUUAAAUAAAGUUUUUCCAUUCCAUUCCAUUUGUUUACAUUACGGACUUGACUUCCACUUUAAUCUUAUUCAUUAUAUAUGUGAUAGCUUGCGAACAGGCUCUUUGAAUUGAGUUAGAGAGCUUGUUCGCAGGCUAUAUAUGUAACAAAGAAACUAUAUACUAAUGCUAAUGUUCCUUGAUUAAAAUUAAAGUUAAUCUUAUUCAUCUUAGACAACAGCAAUUGAACUAUAUAUGUGACAGAGAAACCAUAUACCAAUGCAUAUAAGCCAAUCAAAUGUAAUCCUUGGAAAACCACAACAUUGUCCAAUCAUGUUUGGACAUGUUAAUUCAAUUGGAUUUACAGAUGAAGAACUUGCAAGGUCAGUUUUUAAUUAGUUGUGGGUAUCAAGAAGCACUUAAUUGACCCUUUGGUGUCCUUUGGUCUCCCCUUUGAAAUUGACACAUGUUUUUAUUGAUUGAAACAUGUUUUUAUCGAUCGAAAGUAAUUUUUUUAUGACAUGAAAGGUUUUUUCGAAAAUUUUCAGAAAGCUUGGACUAGUUUCAAGGGUUUUUUUUCAAUGUUUUUGAAUUUUUGAAAAAUUUCCUGUGGGUCAGCCUUUGCAUAUGACCAAAAUGUUUUAAAAUUUAAAACAUGUUUUUAUAGUUUGAAAGUGAUUGUUUUGAUGACAGGAAAGGUUUUCGACAAUUUUCAGAAUUUUCAUGCAGGGAACUUUUCAAUAGGGAAAAAUUGAAAUUUGUGCAAGGGAUUAUAUUUAAAAAAAUUAUUGACACAAGCAAAAAAGUGCCCCACCCCAUCAUAUGUUGUCAGUUUAUAUGGCAAUUAAUAUUCUUUGAUUGUUUAGGUAUUUUGUGUCAAGAGAACUUUAUAAUGUCAGUCAUGAGAGGCAAGAUUAUUUUUAGACCAAAGAGAAUUAUUUACAGUCGCUGUCUUGAAUCUUGUAAAAAAAGGUUAGUUUAUAAAACGCCUUCCCGGCAAUGUGGCAUGAAAAUUAUAAAUUCUGAAUAGUAAUUUUAAUUAUACCAGCUUGUGAUUAUACAAGCACUCGAAGGGAGAAAUGUAUGGAAUACUGAUGGUAUGACAUAGUCCAACCGGGGUUACGAUCACGCCAGGUUACGAUCUCAGGGCUGCAAAUAAAUAUUUGACUUGACAGGACAAAUGUCUGAUCACUUUUAAUUUUGGUCGGACAAAACCAACAUCGCUAAAUUUGGUCGGACCUAUACGUCACAAGAUAUAUAUAAGUCACGAGACAGGUAUUAUUAUAAUAUGCCAUUUCAGCGCAACGUUAAGUAAAAUUAUAUGCUAGAUCGCCUUGUAAAUUUUAUUGCAAAAUGCAAAUUGAGUGAAUUUGCAAUCGGAUUUUGUCACAGCAAAAAAUGUAUAAUGUGACAAUUUUUUUGUGAUCUGACCAAUGACCGAUCAAAAUUACUUUUGCUUGGACAUUUGCCAAAUUUAGUAAGACAUUGUCCGAUGUCAUUCUCGUACCCAGAGCCCUUCUUACGCGCAGUGCGACGAGGAGCUCUGGCCAAAUCCAUAUUCCGAACUGGCAUCUGAUUGGCUACUUCUAACACCAGAUAUUGUUUACUUACCAUGUUUUUAUGGCAUCCGGUUAUGGAUUUGGCCAGAGCCCCUCGUUGCACUGCGCAUAAGAAGGGCUCUGGGUACAAGAAUGGUCCGACGUCUGACAGUAAUUUGCAGCCCUGCUAUCUUCGACUUAUUACAAAGCAUUGCAAUGGGGAUAUCACGCCCAAAUGUGGCAUGAAAAUUAUAAAUUCUGAAUAGUAAUUUUGUAUUCCAAUAUUAGAAUAAUAAGCGGAAAGCUUCACCUCGCCUGCGUGGCAGGCGGUUUUUAGGGAGGGAAAUACCUAAUUUUCGCUGCCUGCAGAUACACCGCCUGCCACGCAGGUUGACCAAUCAGGGAGAUCGUUUUGUAAAUACCCACCAAUCAGAAGUCUGUAUUUUAAUGUAUUCCUGAAUCCUGAGAGAAAAUUAUAUUCAAAUUUAGGGUGGGUGCUCGAAGUCUCGAAGGCCUCGCCUGUUUAUGCAGAAAAGAACUAAAGAAGUACUUUAAAAAUCGAAAUACAACGCUUAAAUACAGCAAAGAAGCACAAAACCCGAAGUUAAAGACAUAGUUAAGGUAUGUCCUAUCAAUUUGAUGUGAAAUGUUGAUAUUUUAGCGAGUUAAAGUGGUUGAAAAUACUUGUCGAAGUUGACGAUUGCAAGUCGCUUCGCGUUCGUGUUGUUGUCUUGUUGAGUUGUUCUGACAUGAAGAUAUUGAAUUAUAGCUUAGGUUUUGUGAAGUUUAGUUUAGUUUAAAGGAUAUGACAAUAAUAAUUAACUUUGUCUUAUUUGAAAGAACUUUUAAAGUUAUAUAUUGUACAACUUUUUCGUACCUUGCUUGCUUUUCGAAAUAGUUUGACCAAAAACAAUGUGCAGUCUUCCAUCUUGGUCUUAUAAUUGCCUAAUUAGCUAAGGCCAAGUAAAAAAAAUUCCCGGUUUCUCAUCAGCGCUCGCAUUAGGAAAUAGCCGCCGCAUUUGUAUUUUAUUUUUAUUUUAAAAUAACAAUUACAUGAAAUAUUUAGCGGUGGGUGGUGAGCAGUGUAAUUAUUUUUUCAAAUGGCCGCCACCCUCAUGUUUGUUUUUUAUAAAUACUGUAUUUUAAAUAAAUAUGCAUGGUAGAAUAGUGGUUUUUAUUAAACAAUUUAAGUUCUGUUGUUAAAAGAAAACUGGUUGUUCAAUAUCAAAAAUUAAAAAAAAACGCCCGUCGCAUUUGCAUUUUAAAAAACGUCUGAUGAGAAACCGGGAAUUUUUUUACUUGGCCUGAUUAACUGAGUUUUAGAUGAGUGCAUAAAGUAUUUUAUAGGUUAUUUUGAAGCUAACUUUGUUUUAAAAUUUGUCAUUUUAGCGAAAAUAAGAAAUGUUGAAUCGUGUGAAUGUGGUCCCAUGAGUUUAAUGAUGCUAUGAUGGCUGUGGAACAGAACACCUUCUUUCCUGGUUGCUGUGAGGAGACAUUGGACAUUGUAAUGAAUGGUUUAUCAUGUGUAUCACUGGCAAACCUACACCCCUACUGCGUUAGGCAGUCAAGUAUUUUUAACCUGCACUUUUUUUUAUUUUCCGUAUUUUUCUUUUAUGUUCAUAAAUAUCAUGACUAAUGACUUUACAUAAAGCUGGAAAGAGUUGAGAUCCCCACUCAACUGCAUGCUUUCUGAAUAUUAUAGACUCCAUUUUACAUGCUACCAUUUUACCAGCAAGAAUUUUUUGAAAAUUUUGAGAUUUGAAAGCCAUUGUAUAAAAAUAGGUCCGCAUCGCAUACAUAUGGCAAGUUCAUAGCAUGCAUGGGCAGUGGCAUUUCAACUUUAUUAUUUUUCCAAGGUCUCUGUGAGACUUCGAAUCAUUCAGCAUGAACAAGCAGUACAUGUAAAAAGAAAGGCGCCGCUUUUUGGGUGUACUGUUUGUCCGUGCCGAAUGGCUGGAAGUGUUGCAGGUAUCUUGGGAUAUCUAAUAAAGUUGUGAUGUUAUUUCAGUGCUGUUUCUAUAAAGGGCAGCUUGCUAUGGCUAUAUGCCUUAGCCUAAAAAAUUUCAGUUUUAUUUCAAAUUAAACAUUUUAAGUACUGUUAACAUAAAGGACAGCUUGCUAUGGCUAUAUGCCUUAGCCUGAAAAAAUUUCAUUUUUCAAAUAAAACAUUUUAAGUAUCGUUGCCAAAAAGAAGAGCUUGCUGUGGCUAUAUGCCUUAGCCAAAAAUAACAACUACGGUUGACUAUAUUCAGGGAGGGGGGCAGGGGCAUUCACCAAUAUUGCUCAAGUUUUUGAAAUAGACAGUUCUGUUUAUUGAUAUUUCAAAUUUAUUAAGACCUAAAAUUCACUGCCUAUGUGUGUUUUAGUUAGGCCAAAAAAAAUAUGCGGGUUUACUAUUUCUUGUAAAAACUAAGGUUAAGGGUAGGUCGAUUUUAACUUAUUUUUUUAAUGUUCCUAACAACCAGAUGCCAUUUUGUUUAGUCAGAGCUUUGACAUUCAAAGAUAAAUUUCCCUAAUAUUGCCUCAAAUUUCCAUUUUUCACAAACGUUUUCCUCUAAGUGGAAACACUUACAAGCAUGAUCCAAUAGAAAAAGUUUAGGUUCGGGAUUUCGGCAUCCAAUCACCUAGGUAGGGUCAGGAAACUGGAAACCCACAUCUUUUUUUUUGCCUUAUGAUGAAAGGCAAGUAUAAAGUGCCAUUCAUGGCUUUGGGGUAUAAGUGUAUAUAUGUUUUAUAAAAAUGUACAUAGUGUUAUUAAACUGUAUGCUAAAAGUUCUGUUGACUGUUACAGUGGUGGCUUGUAAGUGGGGGUAACUUGCUAGGACUUGCACAUUUAAAUAUUUACAAGUGCAUUAGGUCUCUUAGGUUUUAGUUUAAGACCAACAUGAACGAGUGAGAUAAACUCGACUAGUUUAGGAUAAGGCAUCAAGCGUGGUUUCCAUGCACUAGACCCCUCAGGAUCGGACCCCAAACCUUUUUUCAACACCAAAUGUGAAAUUACCCCCACCUUACCGCAUCGUUGAAGAGUUAUGGUGGAUAUCUUGGACAAAUGUGCAUUUUCUUGGUGGAUAUCUUGGGCAAAUGUGCAAUACCAUCAGGAAUAUCUUGGGCAAAUGUGCAAAACUAUGAGGGAUAUCUUGGGCAAAUGUGCAAUACUAUGAGGGAUAUCUUGGGCAAAUGUGCAAUACUAUGAGGGAUAUGUUGGGCAAAUGUGCAAUACUAUGAGGGAUAUGUUGGGCAAAUGUGCAAUACUAUGAGGGAUAUCUUGGAAAAUAUCUUGGAUAAAUUGUUAUGAUUACUUAUCUUAAAUUACUGAAGAAGGAAUCUAUCGUAAGGUUAGUGGAUAUUUAUAAUAGCGAUAAAGUGGGGGUUCCCUGC